rnacentral:rRNA from 1 species
AUUGAACGCUGGCGGCAUGCUUUACACAUGCCAGUCGAACGGUAACAGGCCGCAAGGUGCUGACGAGUGGCGAACGGGUGAGUAAUGCAUCGGAACGUGCCCAGUCGUGGGGGAUAACUACUCGAAAGAGUAGCUAAUACCGCAUACGAUCUAUGGAUGAAAGCGGGGGACCGUAAGGCCUCGCGCGAUUGUAGCUGCCGCUGUCAGAUUAGGUAGUUGGUGGGGUAAAGGCUCACCAAGCCAACGAUCUGUAGCUGGUCUGAGAGGACGACCAGCCACACUGGGACUGAGACACGGCCCAGACUCCUACGGGAGGCAGCAGUGGGGAAUUUUGGACAAUGGGCGCAAGCCUGAUCCAGCAAUGCCGCGUGCAGGAAGAAGGCCUUCGGGUUGUAAACUGCUUUUGUACGGAACGAAACGGCUCUGGUUAAUACCCGGGGCUAAUGACGGUACCGUAAGAAUAAGCCCCGGCUAACUACGUG